rnacentral:rRNA from 4 species
GGGGAUGACGUCAAGUCAUCAUGGCCCUUACGACCAGGGCUACACACGUGCUACAAUGGCGCAUACAAAGAGAAGCGACCUCGCGAGAGCAAGCGGACCUCAUAAAGUGCGUCGUAGUCCGGAUUGGAGUCUGCAACUCGACUCCAUGAAGUCGGAAUCGCUAGUAAUCGUGGAUCAGAAUGCCACGGUGAAUACGUUCCCGGGCCUUGUACACACCGCCCGUCACACCAUGGGAGUGGGUUGCAAAAGAAGUAGGUAGCUUAACCUUCGGGAGGGCGCUUACCACUUUGUGAUUCAUGACUGGGGUGAAGUCGUAACAAGGUAACCGUAGGGGAACCUGCGGUUGGA